rnacentral:rRNA from 1 species
UACCCAUGCAGUCGAGGGGUAACAGGGAGCUUGCUCCGCUGACGACCGGCGCACGGGUGCGCAACGCGUAUGCAAUCUACCUCUUACUAAGGGAUAGCCCAGAGAAAUUUGGAUUAAUAUCUUAUGUGAUAUGUGACUGGCAUCGGUUACAUAUUAAAGGUUACGGUAAGAGAUGAGCAUGCGUCUCAUUAGUUAGUUGGUAAGGUAACGGCUUACCAAGACUUCGAUGAGUAGGGGUCCUGAGAGGGAGAUCCCCCACACUGGUACUGAGACACGGACCAGACUCCUACGGGAGGCAGCAGUGAGGAAUAUUGGACAAUGGACGGAAGUCUGAUCCAGCCAUGCCGCGUGUAGGAAGACUGCCCUAUGGGUUGUAAACUACUUUUAUACAGGAAGAAUAAGAUCUACGUGUAGAUUGAUGACGGUACUGUAAGAAUAAGGACCGGCUAACUCCGUGCCAGCAGCCGCGGUAAUACGGAGGGUCCGAGCGUUAUCCGGAAUUAUUGGGUUUAAAGGGUCCGUAGGCGGGCUGUUAAGUCAGAGGUGAAAUGCUGCGGCUCAACCGUAUGCACUGCCUUUGAUACUGGCGGUCUUGAGUUAUAGUGAAGUGGCUAGAAUAAGUAGUGUAGCGGUGAAAUGCAUAGAUAUUACUUAGAAUACCGAUUGCGAAGGCAGGUCACUAACUAUACACUGACGCUGAUGGACGAAAGCGUGGGUAGCGAACAGGAUUAGAUACCCUGGUAGUCCACGCCGUAAACGAUGGAUACUAGCUGUUCGGUUUCGGACUGAGCGGCAAGCGAAAGGGAUAAGUAUCCCACCUGGGGAGUACGUCGCAAAAUGAAACUCAAGGAUGACGGGGCCCGCACAGCGGUGGGAGCAUGGGGUUUAAUUCGAUGAUACGCGAGGAACCUUACCAGGGCUUAAAUGUAGAUUGACAGGUUUAGAGAUAGACUUUUCUUCGGACAAUUUUACAAGGUGCUGCAUGGUUGUCGUCAGCUCGUGCCGUGAGGUGUCAGGUUAAGUCCUAUAACGAGCGCAACCCCUGUCGUUAGUUGCCAGCAUGUCAUGAUGGGGACUCUAACGAGACUGCCGGUGCAAACCGUGAGGAAGGUGGGGAUGACGUCAAAUCAUCACGGCCCUUACGUCCUGGGCCACACACGUGCUACAAUGGUCGGUACAGAGAGCAGCCACUUAGCGAUAAGGAGCGAAUCUAUAAAACCGAUCACAGUUCGGAUCGGAGUCUGCAACUCGACUCCGUGAAGCUGGAAUCGCUAGUAAUCGGAUAUCAGCCAUGAUCCGGUGAAUACGUUCCCGGGCCUUGUACACAC